GCGGGAGAGGUUCGCGAACUCCCUCUAUAAAAAACUAUCAAUCC
rnacentral:ncRNA from 1 species